rnacentral:rRNA from 1 species
GGCCUAACACAUGCAAGUCGAGCGGAAACGACACUAACAAUCCUUCGGGUGCGUUAAUGGGCGUCGAGCGGCGGACGGGUGAGUAAUGCCUAGGAAAUUGCCUUGAUGUGGGGGAUAACCAUUGGAAACGAUGGCUAAUACCGCAUGAUGCCUACGGGCCAAAGAGGGGGACCUUCGGGCCUCUCGCGUCAAGAUAUGCCUAGGUGGGAUUAGCUAGUUGGUGAGGUAAUGGCUCACCAAGGCGACGAUCCCUAGCUGGUCUGAGAGGAUGAUCAGCCACACUGGAACUGAGACACGGUCCAGACUCCUACGGGAGGCAGCAGUGGGGAAUAUUGCACAAUGGGCGAAAGCCUGAUGCAGCCAUGCCGCGUGUAUGAAGAAGGCCUUCGGGUUGUAAAGUACUUUCAGUUGUGAGGAAGGGUGUGUAGUUAAUAGCUGCGCAUCUUGACGUUAGCAACAGAAGAAGCACCGGCUAACUCCGUGCCAGCAGCCGCGGUAAUACGGAGGGUGCGAGCGUUAAUCGGAAUUACUGGGCGUAAAGCGCAUGCAGGUGGUUCAUUAAGUCAGAUGUGAAAGCCCG